rnacentral:rRNA from 1 species
UACGUAGGGUGCAAGCGUUAAUCGGAAUUACUGGGCGUAAAGCGUGCGCAGGCGGUUCGCUAAGACAGAUGUGAAAUCCCCGGGCUUAACCUGGGAACUGCAUUUGUGACUGGCGGGCUAGAGUAUGGCAGAGGGGGGUAGAAUUCCACGUGUAGCAGUGAAAUGCGUAGAGAUGUGGAGGAAUACCGAUGGCGAAGGCGGCGUCCUGGACCAACACUGACACUGAAAAGCGAAAGCCAGGGGAGCAAACGGG